GCAAGUCGAACGAAAAGUUAACUUCGGUUAAUGGAUUCGUGGCGGACGGGUGAGUAUAAUAUAGAUAUCUACCGAGCACUGGGGGAUAACAGUUAGAAAUGACUGAUAAUACCGCAUACGCCAUAUUGGGAAAACUACGGUGGUGUUCGAUGAGUCUAUACUGGAUUAGCUAGUUGGUGAGGUAAAAGCUCACCAAGGCUAUGACGGAUACCUGGUCUGAGAGGAUGAUC
rnacentral:rRNA from 1 species